rnacentral:tRNA from 1 species
GGUGGCUCAACAAUAGAGUGCUUGCCUCACAUGCAUGAGACCCUGAGUUCAAUUCCUCAGCACCA